GAUGAACGCUAGCGGCAGGCUUAACACAUGCAAGUCGAGGGGCAGCAUAAAUAGUAGCAAUACUAUCGGUGGCGACCGGCGGACGGGUGCGUAACGCGUAUACAACCUUCCCUAAACAGGGGGAUAAUCUGGAGAAAUUCGGUCUAAUACCCCAUAACAUCAGAGCAGGCAUCUGUUUUGGUUAAAAUUUCCGGAGGUUUAGGAUGGGUAUGCGUAGCAUUAGCUAGUUGGUGAGGUAACGGCUCACCAAGGCGACGAUGCUUAGGGGGACUGAGAGGUUAACCCCCCCACUGGAACUGAGACACGGACCAGACUCCUACGGGAGGCAGCAGUGAGGAAUAUUGGUCAAUGGGCGGAAGCCUGAACCAGCCAUGCCGCGUGCAGGAUGACGGCUCUAUGAGUUGUAAACUGCUUUUGUACGAGGGUAAAGUGGGCUACGUGUAGCCUUUUGAAUGUAUCGUACGAAUAAGGAUCGGCUAACUCCGUGCCAGCCGCCGCAGUAA
rnacentral:rRNA from 1 species